rnacentral:rRNA from 1 species
GGUUAAGCGACUAAGCGUACACGGUGGAUGCCCUGGCAGUCAGAGGCGAUGAAGGACGUGCUAAUCUGCGAUAAGCGUCGGUAAGGUGAUAUGAACCGUUAUAACCGGCGAUUUCCGAAUGGGGAAACCCAGUGUGAUUCGUCACACUAUCAUUAACUGAAUCCAUAGGUUAAUGAGGCGAACCGGGGGAACUGAAACAUCUAAGUACCCCGAGGAAAAGAAAUCAACCGAGAUUCCCCCAGUAGCGGCGAGCGAACGGGGAGCAGCCCAGAGCCUGAAUCAGUGUGUGUGUUAGUGGAAGCGUCUGGAAAGGCGCGCGAUACAGGGUGACAGCCCCGUACACAAAAAUGCACAUGCUGUGAGCUCGAUGAGUAGGGCGGGACACGUGGUAUCCUGUCUGAAUAUGGGGGGACCAUCCUCCAAGGCUAAAUACUCCUGACUGACCGAUAGUGAACCAGUACCGUGAGGGAAAGGCGAAAAGAACCCCGGCGAGGGGAGUGAAAAAGAACCUGAAACCGUGUACGUACAAGCAGUGGGAGCACGCUUAGGCGUGUGACUGCGUACCUUUUGUAUAAUGGGUCAGCGACUUAUAUUCUGUAGCAAGGUUAACCGAAUAGGGGAGCCGAAGGGAAACCGAGUCUUAACUGGGCGUUAAGUUGCAGGGUAUAGACCCGAAACCCGGUGAUCUAGCCAUGGGCAGGUUGAAGGUUGGGUAACACUAACUGGAGGACCGAACCGACUAAUGUUGAAAAAUUAGCGGAUGACUUGUGGCUGGGGGUGAAAGGCCAAUCAAACCGGGAGAUAGCUGGUUCUCCCCGAAAGCUAUUUAGGUAGCGCCUCGUGAAUUCAUCUCCGGGGGUAGAGCACUGUUUCGGCAAGGGGGUCAUCCCGACUUACCAACCCGAUGCAAACUGCGAAUACCGGAGAAUGUUAUCACGGGAGACACACGGCGGGUGCUAACGUCCGUCGUGAAGAGGGAAACAACCCAGACCGCCAGCUAAGGUCCCAAAGUCAUGGUUAAGUGGGAAACGAUGUGGGAAGGCCCAGACAGCCAGGAUGUUGGCUUAGAAGCAGCCAUCAUUUAAAGAAAGCGUAAUAGCUCACUGGUCGAGUCGGCCUGCGCGGAAGAUGUAACGGGGCUAAACCAUGCACCGAAGCUGCGGCAGCGACGCUUAUGCGUUGUUGGGUAGGGGAGCGUUCUGUAAGCCUGUGAAGGUGUGCUGUGAGGCAUGCUGGAGGUAUCAGAAGUGCGAAUGCUGACAUAAGUAACGAUAAAGCGGGUGAAAAGCCCGCUCGCCGGAAGACCAAGGGUUCCUGUCCAACGUUAAUCGGGGCAGGGUGAGUCGACCCCUAAGGCGAGGCCGAAAGGCGUAGUCGAUGGGAAACAGGUUAAUAUUCCUGUACUUGGUGUUACUGCGAAGGGGGGACGGAGAAGGCUAUGUUGGCCGGGCGACGGUUGUCCCGGUUUAAGCGUGUAGGCUGGUUUUCCAGGCAAAUCCGGAAAAUCAAGGCUGAGGCGUGAUGACGAGGCACUACGGUGCUGAAGCAACAAAUGCCCUGCUUCCAGGAAAAGCCUCUAAGCAUCAGGUAACAUCAAAUCGUACCCCAAACCGACACAGGUGGUCAGGUAGAGAAUACCAAGGCGCUUGAGAGAACUCGGGUGAAGGAACUAGGCAAAAUGGUGCCGUAACUUCGGGAGAAGGCACGCUGAUAUGUAGGUGAAGUCCCUCGCGGAUGGAGCUGAAAUCAGUCGAAGAUACCAGCUGGCUGCAACUGUUUAUUAAAAACACAGCACUGUGCAAACACGAAAGUGGACGUAUACGGUGUGACGCCUGCCCGGUGCCGGAAGGUUAAUUGAUGGGGUCAGCGCAAGCGAAGCUCUUGAUCGAAGCCCCGGUAAACGGCGGCCGUAACUAUAACGGUCCUAAGGUAGCGAAAUUCCUUGUCGGGUAAGUUCCGACCUGCACGAAUGGCGUAAUGAUGGCCAGGCUGUCUCCACCCGAGACUCAGUGAAAUUGAACUCGCUGUGAAGAUGCAGUGUACCCGCGGCAAGACGGAAAGACCCCGUGAACCUUUACUAUAGCUUGACACUGAACAUUGAGCCUUGAUGUGUAGGAUAGGUGGGAGGCUUUGAAGUGUGGACGCCAGUCUGCAUGGAGCCGACCUUGAAAUACCACCCUUUAAUGUUUGAUGUUCUAACGUUGACCCGUAAUCCGGGUUGCGGACAGUGUCUGGUGGGUAGUUUGACUGGGGCGGUCUCCUCCUAAAGAGUAACGGAGGAGCACGAAGGUUGGCUAAUCCUGGUCGGACAUCAGGAGGUUAGUGCAAUGGCAUAAGCCAGCUUGACUGCGAGCGUGACGGCGCGAGCAGGUGCGAAAGCAGGUCAUAGUGAUCCGGUGGUUCUGAAUGGAAGGGCCAUCGCUCAACGGAUAAAAGGUACUCCGGGGAUAACAGGCUGAUACCGCCCAAGAGUUCAUAUCGACGGCGGUGUUUGGCACCUCGAUGUCGGCUCAUCACAUCCUGGGGCUGAAGUAGGUCCCAAGGGUAUGGCUGUUCGCCAUUUAAAGUGGUACGCGAGCUGGGUUUAGAACGUCGUGAGACAGUUCGGUCCCUAUCUGCCGUGGGCGCUGGAGAACUGAGGGGGGCUGCUCCUAGUACGAGAGGACCGGAGUGGACGCAUCACUGGUGUUCGGGUUGUCAUGCCAAUGGCACUGCCCGGUAGCUAAAUGCGGAAGAGAUAAGUGCUGAAAGCAUCUAAGCACGAAACUUGCCCCGAGAUGAGUUCUCCCUGACUCCUUGAGAGUCCUGAAGGAACGUUGAAGACGACGACGUUGAUAGGCCGGGUGUGUAAGCGCAGCGAUGCGUUGAGCUAACCGGUACUAAUGAACCGUGAGGCUUAACCUU